rnacentral:rRNA from 1 species
UCGGGAAUUUUGGGCAAUGGGGGAAACCCUGACCCAGCAACGCCGCGUGAAGGAUGAAGUAUUUCGGUAUGUAAACUUCGAAAGAAUAGGAAGAAUAAAUGACGGUACUAUUUAUAAGGUCCGGCUAACUACGUGCCAGCAGCCGCGGUAAUACGUAGGGACCAAGCGUUGUUCGGAUUUACUGGGCGUAAAGGGCGCGUAGGCGGCAAUUCAAGUCAUCUGUGAAAUCUCCGGGCUUAACUCGGAACGGUCAGAUGAUACUGCUUUGCUAGAGUGCAGAAGGGGCAAUCGGAAUUCUUGGUGUAGCGGUGAAAUGCGUAGAUAUCAAGAGGAACACCUGAGGUGAAGACGGGUUGCUGGGCUGACACUGACGCUGAGGCGCGAAAGCUAGGGUAGCAAACGGGAUUAGAUACCCAAGUAGUCCCUGAGCGGGCUGGCAAGGCGCAU